rnacentral:lncRNA from 1 species
AUGAUUCAUCCACUCCUGUUUCUUCUCUGCCUCCUUCACCACAAAGCGCACUGUGCACCGCAUCAGCCCCUCACGGGACAGAGGGUGCACACUCACCAACUUUCACAGCUGUCAUUUGGAGGCCCCACUUCGCCCCCUGGGCUUAACCCAGAGGAACUACCCGUGGUGACCUUGGUGGACGUCUGCUUCGGUCUUCUGCAGGGGUGGACUCUCCACUGCAGAGGUCUGGUAACUGCUCGGUUUAUUUAUACAGAGGUUCCUGUCGGGAUAGAAUAAUUUGACACCUGGGUUAAAUCAGUAACAACCAAUGCUUGUACUUCAAGAUCAUUCAUCAUUUAAACUAUAUUUUACAAUUUCUCAAACAAGUGACUAAUAUUAAUAAUCAGUUGUUUUUUUUUUUGUGCUUUAUUAUGUAUAACAGAUGUUGAAAGACACUUCGGCUUCCACCAUUAAAGUUAAACCUCAGUCAUUUUGUAUACAGAACUUUUCUCUAUAAAACUUUCGUUUUUCUCAUCUAAAAUGUAGGAGGCUUACAUUGCAUUUACCAGAUUAAAAUACUUAAAUUCUUCAAAUGCUCAGAGAAGAGUCUUCUGAAAUUGAACCUUGUGCAAAUAGAACGUAACUUGCAUAUAAAAAUUAUCUACCACCAAACAGGCAAUUACUAUAGAAACAGCUUCACAGAUAUAUUGUGUGUAGUUUAGUGUGUGUAUUGUCAUUAUUAAUGUUUUUAACUAACCGUGCCUGAAUUACUACUCUUUUCAUCAAAGCUGUGCCAGAAAAAAACUGCUCAGGUUUCUUCUUGGCAAAAUCUUCACAAAUUGGGGGUUAUGAUAAUUUCUGUAGUGUGUUCAAAUUUAAAUAACAAUUAUAUGACCAAUGAAUAUAAAACGAUAGCAUACCUAAUACUUUGGUAUUAACUCACCCGAAUUUACAGCAAUGGCCAAAGAUGGUUUGAAUUUGAAUCAAAUGUUUGAAUUUGUGUCUGUGUUUUGGGGAUCACAUUAGAGGGUUGUUACAGCCCUGAUCUUUUGCCAUUGCUGUAAAUUCAGGUGAGAUAAUACCAAAGUAUUAGGAAUGCUAUCCUUUUAUAUUCAUUGGUCAUAUAAUCAUUAUUGAAAUUUGUAGGGAUUUUUGGAAAUAAAAAAUAAUGGGCCACUGAGACUAAUAAUGUUUUGUUUGUCGGGUAAAGAAACAUUGAGUUGAAUCUUGUUUUGAG